rnacentral:rRNA from 1 species
UACGUAGGGGGCAAGCGUUGUCCGGAUUUAUUGGGCGUAAAGAGCGUGUAGGCGGCUUUACAGGUCCGUUGUGAAAACUCGAGCUCAACCUCGAGACGCCGGUGGAAACCGUAAAGCUAAAAGUCCGGAAGAGGAGAGUGGAAUUCCUGGUGUAGCGGUGAAAUGCGCAGAUAUCAGGAGGAACACCCGUGGCGAAAGCGGCUCUCUGGGACGGUACUGACGCUGAGACGCGAAAGCGUGGGGAGCAAACAGG